GCCAGCGGCCAUAUCACCCUGUAGCCAAGACUGGUUACUCACUGAAGCUAAGCAAAGCUGAGCCUGCUCAGUACCUGGAUGGGAGACCUCCUGGGAAAACUAGGUUGCUGUUGGAA
rnacentral:rRNA from 1 species